AACCCAUUUUUGUAAAAUAAAAAACAUUCAAAAGAAAAACUAAAAACUUUGUGAAAAAAUAAAAACCAACAUAAAAUAUGACUUCACCACAACUACUAUCGGAGAUUCAUCUGAAUCAAUUAUUAAGUCAACUGAAGGAGCUACAAUAUUUUGAUGGGACUCCAGACGCGAGACGAGCCCACAUCAUAUUCGGAGCAAUUAGAAGACUAGUAGUGGACUAGCACAGGAAACAGUGGGACAAGCAAGCAACUAGCCAUCUAUGAAGGGAGCACUAUCCACAUCAUUUAAGGAUCACCGCCCCUAUGAAACAUUUAUAAAACAUCUUGGAAACACCGAAUAUCGCGGAAGUACCAAUUAUAAUAUAUUGAUUAAUUCGGACCUGUACUGCCAACAAAUGGACCGCUUUAAGGCAGCACUCAUGCAGAAGAGGCCAUCUUUGAUCAACAGAGGCCGAAUUGUCUUGCAGACAACGCCAGCCCACACACAUCUUUAGUGACCCGCCAGAAGCUCCGGGAGCUCGGAUGGAAGGUUCUUUUGCAUCCA